rnacentral:rRNA from 1 species
UAGGGAAUCUUCCGCAAUGGGCGAAAGCCUGACGGAGCAACGCCGCGUGAGUGAUGAAGGUCUUCGGAUCGUAAAACUCUGUUAUUAGGGAAGAACAAAUGUGUAAGUAACUAUGCACGUCUUGACGGUACCUAAUCAGAAAGCCACGGCUAACUACGUGCCAGCAGCCGCGGUAAUACGUAGGUGGCAAGCGUUAUCCGGAGUUAUUGGGCGUAAAGCGCGCGUAGGCGGUUUUUUAGGUCUGAUGUGAAAGCCCACGGCUCAACCGUGGAGGGUCAUUGGAGACUGGAAAACUUGAGUGCAGAAGAGGAAAGUGGAAUUCCAUGUGUAGCAGUGAAAUGCGCAGAGAUAUGGAGGAACACCAGUGGCGAAGGCGACUUUCUGGUCUGUAACUGACGCUGAUGUGCGAAAGCGUGAGGAUCAAACAGG